CGGCGAGCGAAGUGGGAAGAGCUCAGGCUGCCAAUCUCCGGCCGAGAGGUCGGCGAAUUGUGGUCUGGAGACGCCAACUGUCCUCGCCUGCUUCCCCGGCCCGAAGUUGACCUGGAACGGCGCGUCAGAGAGGGUGACAGUCCCGUAGGGCCGUCUGUGGGAAGCGGGUGGACGUCAUUUGGCGGUCGGCGAGUCGGGUUGUUUGGGAUUGCAGCCCAAAGUGGGUGGUAAACUCCAUCCAAAGCUAAAUAGCGGCACGAGACCGAUAGCGAACAAGUACCGUGAGGGAAAGGUGAAAAGUACUUUGAAAAGAGAGUCAAAGAGACCGCGAAACCGUUGGGAGGGAAGCGCACGGCGGCGAGCCGUGUCCGCGUGGGACUCAGCAGGCGUGUCUUCACCACGGGUGCCGUGACGCCCGCUCCGGCGAGUCUCCCCGGCUGCGGUCAGGGGAGCGUCGGCGGUGGGAGAGUGGCGGUGCCGCCUGCGCACUUUCCGCGUGGACUCGUCAGCGAGGAUCGCCUCGGGCCCACAAGGACGGUGGGGUAGGUGACCCGGCGUGGUCUCUGUGCCUCGUUGGGAGCUUACAGCCCACCGUUGAGGCUGCGGUCGCGGCCCGAGCGUCGAUCGAGGUGAGGUGCGAGCGUCGUUUCGCCGGAGAGGCCGGGCGGGCAACGGUCGGCGUUUGUC
rnacentral:rRNA from 1 species